AUUUAAUCUACACCGAAUGCUUUAUUUUUCAUAAACUAAUCAAAUCUAUUCACAUCCCCAUCUUUGAAAUACAACUCAUUCAUACACUACGGUAGUAAUGAUUCCAUCCACUCAUCACCCUCACAUUUUUAAAAUCCAACUUAUUCUCCACUUUGAUUUUAAUAUGCCUCCCUCAUCAUUUUGCCUCUUAUUCUAAAUAUUUUAUUACCCUCUUUUCUUCAACAACUUCCUUAUUCUCGACUUCUUUCCAUUCUCCCACCAACCUCUCCAGCUCCUACACUCAUUACAGCCAUUUACUCUCCAGCUCAUGCACUCAUUAUAGCCAUUCACAAUUCCUGCCUAAGCCUUUUCGGGCCUUUAUAACUGACUGCCUCUCUUCAGAAAAGACUGGCACCUCUUGAGUACUAAGCUCUUCCUUCUUCCUUAUUUUCUCCUUUCUCCUUCUUUUCUAUUCUGCUUCUUCUCUAUUCCUUUUUGUUACUCAAAACCAAGAAGACCUGAUUUGGGCCAUGUUUCCAGUAGGCCAGAAGAACCUACAGAUUUAUCCAACCCAAUCUAAUCUGACCUGCAAGCCCAACCCAACAGCAAUCCACAAACCGAUUUCAGCCCAGACCCGCAAGCCCAUCAACCCAGACCCAGCAGCCCAAAACCCAUAAGCCCCACAAACUAGUUCUAAACCAGCAACCCACGGGCCAAACCUAGAACACUCAAGCCCAUUCAGCAAGCCCGAGAUCCAUAAGCCCGAGACCCAUCAACCCGGAACCCCGACCCGCCGGCAACCCGCCGCCGGCAGUUUCUCCGGCGACUUCUCCGUCGACUUUUCCGGCCACUCUCCGGCGACUUUUCCGGCGACUUUCCGGUCACUUUUCCGACGACUUUCCGGCCACUUUCCGGCUAUUUUCCCCGGCGACCAAACUCACCGUUUCGCUGGAUUUUCGAGUGGAAAUCCUUAAUAUGAUGAAUUGAGACAGCACAAAAGGGACUGUAAGUAUUUUUAUACUUACUGAGGGUAGCACUGGAUUUCAGUAAUGUUGUGUUUAUGUUUUAUUUUAAUUGGAUGCGUGUGACUGAUUAUUGCAUACUGUUAAUAAUCAACCUAUUAAUAUUGGGCGCGACGUCUCCCAAAGGUUCAUGAUAGAGUUGAACCGGAAACCAUAAUAAUCAUAUUGAUUGGGACGGCUUUCAAAGUACUAGAGGAGGGAGGUCUCCAAUAGUGCGAAAAUCAGUUAAUUAAAAUGUAAUGUAGAGGGGACGGCCUCGAGAAACACGAUUAAACGGGGGGACGUGCCCUUACAAGAGAGGAGUGUAAUCACUAUAUAAACUGUUAAACUUUGCAUGAAAAACUAUCACCUCAUCAUUAUGUCAUAUCUGUACCUUAAAAUAACGCAUAAAUCAUGAUGUUGUUGAAUGACAGUUAGCUCACUUAUGGAACUAUGGGAUUGUGGUUAUAACCACCUUCUCAUAGAUGACUGUGCAGGCACAGACACUGACGAGUAUCAGGAUUAUCAGGAGCCUUAUGAUGAUUCUGGUUUCAUAGAUGAGACUGUCUAAAGUCUCAUUCUUAUGAUAGACUUGCUGAACAGUUUAUCUCCCAUGUCGUUAUUAGGUUUUAUUUUAUGUACUUUCUAGACAUCUUAUGCUUUAUUUUAUGGUUUGUAAUAUGACUACUAUUACAUAGAACGUGUGCCGUGGUGGCCCUUAUGUUAUUGCUUUUAUGUGUAUUUAUUUGUAAGACCUUUUAUUAUUAUUUUAAUGUAAGUUGAGGUAUUUAAUUUAAAGGCUCUAAUGUGUUAUUUAA